rnacentral:rRNA from 1 species
UACGUAGGGUGCGAGCGUUGUCCGGAAUUAUUGGGCGUAAAGGGCUCGUAGGCGGUUUGUCGCGUCGGGAGUGAAAUCCACUGGCUUAACUGGUGGCUUGCUUUCGAUACGGGCAGACUGGAGGUAUGCAGGGGAGAACGGAAUUCCUGGUGUAGCGGUGGAAUGCGCAGAUAUCAGGAGGAACACCGGUGGCGAAGGCGGGUCUCUGGGCCGAUACUGACGCUGAGGAGCGAAAGCGUGGGGAGCGAACAGG